AUGGAAGGUCUUCUGCAUUGGGAUUUUUCCCCCGGCCUUGUCGUGGCAGCUCAGGUGCGUCGUCGUUUUGGUUCUACCGUCCAUUUCUCUCCUUCUGGUUCGAACAAAGAGUUCUUCUUGGUGGUGCACUUUUCAUCGGCAAGCUUCCCUCUCAAUGAUGAUUCGGUUGCUAUUGCCCUCCAAUGCUGUAUUGGGGGCCUCCCUUCUGGUCUUAACGUGGCACAUAUUGAUGGUAGAAGAUUUCGCUUCUCAGUGGCGUCCAAUAAGGUUGGGCAUUUCAUCUAUGGUCUUAAGGACAGAGUCUGGCCGGAUUUUGUAUGCCACUUCAGUCUUUUCCGUCAGAACAAUACUGGUAUUUUGGCAAAGGAUUCAUCAUGGCAUCUUGAUUCUCACAUACCUGAGGUGGCUGCUCGUUCUCCUAUUGCUAUCAAGUCUAAAUACAAGUUCUCUUCGCAGCAAGAUAAGGUGUUGAAAGCUUCAAGUCUGAUUUUAUCUAAAUUUGGCUUUCCUCCUACGGAGGGUCUGGUUUCCAGCCUUGCCGCGUCACCGGACGGCUCAACGCCGGUAGCUCUGUUGCCGGAGCAGAUUAUUUCGGGGCAGACAGAUAGCCAGACAUUUACUGCGGGCAUUAACACACAUUCCUUGUCUUCGGGCGUCAUCUUUGGGACUUUCAAAUCACCCUUUACUGCGGGGAAUUAUGUGUUUAAUGAGCCAAGGCCUAAUAAAUACAGAUUUGUAGGUUGUCAAUUUAAGGAGACUACAUGGAGCAAUAUUCCGAAUUUUAUGCUCUUCCAUAUUCUGGACCAACGUCAUUUUGGGUAUUUUCUGAUGCACAUAUUGCCAACAUAUGGUCUCCAACAUCGGUCCCUCCCUCGGUUUACAUUUAUGGGAGGCUUAAUUUGUGCUCCUCUUGUAAGUUGUUGGGCCAUUUGGCUACUGCAUGCCCAGGCGAGAUUUGUUCAAUCUGUCUUAAAGAUAGUUGCUGCUGUCCCCCACCUGCUAGCCGGGUGA
rnacentral:rRNA from 1 species